rnacentral:lncRNA from 1 species
UAACGGACAAAAAAUCAAUUUUUUUGGGCAAAAAAUCGCUCUUAAACAAGCUGCAUAUUUUGUAAGAGUAAUUUUUUGAAGAAUAUAUCGUUAAAAAAUAUUGAAAUAUUUUAAGUUUGCGUGCAAAAUUAUUUUAUUGAAAAAAUACAUUGUUGAAUAUGAGUCUGAAGAAAAUUAAAUUUUAAAGAAUAUGUAUCCAACAUUGAUGCGAAUCCGUGAGCAACUAACACUCACGAACCCACAACGAGAUUGACACGAAUCCCAAGAAUGCCAAAUAAUCGACGAUUUUGGAUUUAAUUCCCAAACAAUGACUCAAACAACCAAUAAUAUAUGAAAUUAUUGACCUUUUGAAUACACAGUUCAAGAAUCUCACCCGGAUUGCGAACGCCAUAAGAAAAUCAUGAUUUCCUUGGUAAGUUCAAUGUUCAAUGAAGAACAAUCAAUUGGAAGCAAAAUCGCUCCUGAAUAAUUUCUCAAAUAUCAGAGUCUAAGAAAACAAUAUGAAAAGUACCCUAGAUUUAAUGGAAAAAAGGAGAUUUAGUCUUAAAAAGUUGCCAAAACAAGAAUUCUAAUUAAUGUAAAACUCACGCGCCAAACUGAAUUCUCUGCCUGCAUUGCCUCUAUGCGAUCGCACUGUUGAAGUUGCUGCGGUCGCAUGGUAUUAUGAACUCCGGCCAGUCCCUGUUUUGCUUCACACUGUGCAACCGGAAGGGCAUCAACUUCCUCCAUUCGUUUUCGGCUCUCGUUCCCAACUACAAUCUUGGACCUUGGUGUGACAACUUCAUCCUUGCGUACUCCAUGGCUCGACCCAAAAAUGUGUGGCUAUUUUUAACCCCUCGAAGUCUCAAACCCAGCCUUGGUUCUUCCAAUCAAUCACCAAGUUCUUGAUAAUCGUGGCGCUUCUCGGAUCAUAUCAAACAUGGUUUAAUUGUAUUUUACCUAAAUUUUCAAUGACUGAACUGAGAGGAAUGGACAAGUAGGG